rnacentral:lncRNA from 1 species
UACCGGAAAAAUCGCCAGAUCUCAACAACAACAACAACGGUGGUCUCGAGUUCAACGAGAGCGACGUAUUUUGGUCAUCAUCCUCCGACGUUUCAGACAUUCAGUCACCAAACGUUUCCAGUUCUCCGCCUAUUCACCGUCAAUACAACUCCGGCCUCUACGCUGCGUUAUCCGACGAUCAGCAUCCCUUGGUUCGACGGAAACCUGCGAUGAGUCCGUCCCAAUCCGCCGCCACGGCUGCUCGGACUAUACCUCCGGUUGCGCUUAGGCGUUCUUCCGAGCAUUCUCCCGCUUACCACCAGUCGGCGCCGGUGAAUGUGCCGAUUUGGCCGAAAAACAAACCGAUUAAUU